GGCAACCCUGACGGAGCAAGACCGCGUGGGGGAGGAAGGUCUGUGGAUUGUAAACCCCUUUUGACUGGGAAGAACACAAUGACGGUACCAGUCGAAUCAGCCUCGGCUAACUCCGUGCCAGCAGCCGCGGUAAUACGGAGGAGGCAAGCGUUAUCCGGAUUUAUUGGGCGUAAAGCGUCCGCAGGUGGUUUUACAAGUCUGCUGUCAAAGCGCGGAGCUUAACUUCGUACAGGCAGUGGAAACUGUGAGACUUGAGUAUGAUAGGGGCAGAGGGAAUUCCCAGUGUAGCGGUGAAAUGCGUAGAGAUUGGGAAGAACACCGGUGGCGAAAGCGCUCUGCUGGGUCAUUACUGACACUGAGGGACGAAAGC
rnacentral:rRNA from 1 species